rnacentral:rRNA from 1 species
UAGGGAAUCUUCGGCAAUGGGGGGAACCCUGACCGAGCAACGCCGCGUGAGUGAAGAAGGUUUUCGGAUCGUAAAGCCCUGUUGUUAAGGAAGAACGAGUGUGAGAAUGGAAAGUUCAUACUGUGACGGUACUUAACCAGAAAGGGACGGCUAACUACGUGCCAGCAGCCGCGGUAAUACGUAGGUCCCGAGCGUUGUCCGGAUUUAUUGGGCGUAAAGCGAGCGCAGGCGGUUAGAUAAGUCUGAAGUUAAAGGCAGUGGCUCAACCAUUGUAGGCUUUGGAAACUGUUUAACUUGAGUGCAGAAGGGGGGAGUGGAAUUCCAGGUGUAGCGGUAAAAUGCGUAGAUAUAUGGAGGACCACCGGUGGCGAAGGCGGCUCUCUGGUCUAUAACUGACGCUGAGGCUCGAAAGCGUGGGGAACGAACAGG